rnacentral:rRNA from 1 species
AGUGAACGCUGGCGGUAGGCCUAACACAUGCAAGUCGAACGGCAGCACAGUAAGAGCUUGCUCUUACGGGUGGCGAGUGGCGGACGGGUGAGGAAUACAUCGGAAUCUACUUUUUCGUGGGGGAUAACGUAGGGAAACUUACGCUAAUACCGCAUACGACCUACGGGUGAAAGCAGGGGAUCUUCGGGCCUUGCGCGAUUGAAUGAGCCGAUGUCGGAUUAGCUAGUUGGCGGGGUAAAGGCCCACCAAGGCGACGAUCCGUAGCUGGUCUGAGAGGAUGGACAGCCCACAUGGGACGGGGAAACGGCCCCAACCUCCACGGGGGGCAGCAGGAGGGAAAUAUUGGAAAAGGGGGAAAGGCCGAACCGGGCAAGCCGGGGGGGGGAAGGAGGGCCUUGGGUUGUAAAACCCUUUUGGUUGGGAAGAAAGAGCGGGAGGUUAAAACCCCCCUGUUUUGACGGUACCCAAAAAAAAAGAGACGGCUAACUUCGUG